UACGUAGGGUGCAAGCGUUGUCCGGAAUUAUUGGGCGUAAAGAGCUCGUAGGUGGCCUGUCGCGUCGGCUGUGAAAACUCGGGGCUCAACUCCGAGCUUGCAGUCGAUACGGGCAGGCUAGAGUUCGGCAGGGGAGACUGGAAUUCCUGGUGUAGCGGUGAAAUGCGCAGAUAUCAGGAGGAACACCGGUGGCGAAGGCGGGUCUCUGGGCCGAUACUGACACUGGGGAGCGAAAGCGUGGGGAGCGAACAGG
rnacentral:rRNA from 1 species